rfam:Bacteroidetes bacterium 12B contig47120962, whole genome shotgun sequence.
AGCCGGGAGAGUCCAGCCCUCCAUAGAAAAAACGGCGCGAUACCGAAAAGCGAAACGAGUAGGACGUUC